UGGGGAAUUUUGCACAAUGGGGGAAACCCUGAUGCAGCGACGCCGCGUGAUUUAGAAGGCCUUCGGGUUGUAAAAAUCUUUUUUACGGGAUGAAAAUGACAGUACCGUAAGAAUAAGGUCCGGCUAAAUACGUGCCAGCAGCCGCGGUAAUACGUAUGGACCGAGCGUUGUCCGGAAUCAUUGGGCGUAAAGGGUACGUAGGCGGCCUAGUAAGUUAGAAGUUAAAGAAUAUAGCUCAACUAUAUAAAGCUUUUAAAACUGCUAGGCUUGAGAGAUGGAAGGGAAAGUGGAAGUCCUAGUGUAGCGGUGAAAUGCGUAGAUAUAUGGAGGAACACCGGUGGCGAAAGCGGCUCUCUGGUCUGUAACUGACGCUGAGGCUCGAAAGCGUGGGGAGCGAACAGG
rnacentral:rRNA from 1 species